ACCGCACCAGGCUCCGUGUUUGAAGGGGUCUGUCUGGUCAGUAUCUAAAAUAGCUAGCUAGGUUAGAUUUACAAUAGACUUGAGUUUAGCUUGGCUAGCUAGAUAAUGUUAGUGAGAGAGCUAGCUAGCCACAGUGGAGCCGAAUUGAAUGUAAUCUAGCUAGCUAGUUUAACUAGCUGCUGUUAGCAUAUAGAUAGCUACAGUUAGCUCGUAAGCUAUCUAGCUAAUUUUCCCCAAACAUCGGACACCCCCUAACCUCGGACACUCUAGCCGUUGGAGGACUGAAUCACCUCGAGCUCAACAUUUAAAUGGACUGAAAAAUAACGAUAACAUCAAACAAAAAACCACGGAGAAAGUCAAGAGGAAG